GUGAGGAAUAUUGGACAAUGGGCGCAAGCCUGAUCCAGCCAUGCCGCGUGCAGGAAGACGCAUCUAUGGUGUGUAAACUGCUUUUGUACGGGAAGAAACACUCCCUCGUGAGGGAGCUUGACGGUACCGUAAGAAUAAGGAUCGGCUAACUCCGUGCCAGCAGCCGCGGUAAUACGGAGGAUCCAAGCGUUAUCCGGAAUCAUUGGGUUUAAAGGGUCCGUAGGCGGUUUAAUAAGUCAGUGGUGAAAGCCCAUCGCUCAACGAUGGAACGGCCAUUGAUACUGUUAGACUUGAAUUACAAAGAAGUAACUAGAAUAUGUAGUGUAGCGGUGAAAUGCUUAGAUAUUACAUGGAAUACCAAUUGCGAAGGCAGGUUACUACUUGUGGAUUGACGCUGAUGGACGAAAGCGUGGGGAGCGAACAGGAUUAGAAACCCGGGUAGUCC
rnacentral:rRNA from 1 species